UUGUGGGAUUGCUCUUCUCAGUUCUGCCGAGCUGGGCGUGAGUCAGAAACCGUUGUGUUAGCUGAAUUGGUCUGGGACGGCCAACCGUAGACGGUGAGAGUCCGGUAAGCGAAAACUCAACGGCUCAUGUGAGCAACACCCGAGUAGCAGCGGGCCCGUGAAAUCUGCUGUGAAUCUGCCGGGACCACCCGGUAAGCCUGAAUACUCCCUGGUGACCGAUAGCGGACUAGUACCGUGAGGGAAAGGUGAAAAGUACCCCGGGAGGGGAGUGAAAUAGUACCUGAAACCGUGCGCUUACAAUCCGUCAGAGCCUUCGAGCAGCUUGCUGCUGGGGGUGAUGGCGUGCCUUUUGAAGAAUGAGCCUGCGAGUUAGUGGCAUGUGGCGAGGUUAACCCGUGGUGGGGUAGCCGUAGCGAAAGCGAGUCCGAAUAGGGCGGUUUGAGUCGCAUGUUCUAGACCCGAAGCGGAGUGAUCUACCCAUGGCCAGGGUGAAGCGACGGUAAGACGUCGUGGAGGCCCGAACCCACUUAGGUUGAAAACUGAGGGGAUGAGCUGUGGGUAGGGGUG
rnacentral:rRNA from 1 species